rnacentral:rRNA from 1 species
UACGUAGGGUGCGAGCGUUAAUCGGAAUUACUGGGCGUAAAGCGCGCGCAGGCGGUCUUUUAAGUCUGAUGUGAAAGCCCACGGCUCAACCGUGGAAGGUCAUUGGAAACUGAGAGACUUGAGUACAGAAGAGGAAAGCGGAAUUCCACGUGUAGCGGUGAAAUGCGUAGAGAUGUGGAGGAACACCAGUGGCGAAGGCGGCUUUCUGGUCUGUAACUGACGCUGAGGCGCGAAAGCGUGGGGAGCAAACAGG